CAGUAGCCGCGGGAAUACGGAGGGUGCAAGCGUUAAUCGGAAUUACUGGGCGUAAAGCGUGCGUAGGCGGUUCGUUAAGUCUGUUGUGAAAGCCCCGGGCUCAACCUGGGAAUGGCAAUGGAUACUGGCGAGCUAGAGUGUGUCAGAGGAUGGUGGAAUUCCCGGUGUAGCGGUGAAAUGCGUAGAGAUCGGGAGGAACAUCAGUGGCGAAGGCGGCCAUCUGGGACAACACUGACGCUGAGGCACGAAAGCGUGGGGAGCAAACAGGAUUAGAUACCCGCGUAGUCCCUGUCUCUUAUAC
rnacentral:rRNA from 1 species